rnacentral:rRNA from 1 species
AUUGAACGCUGGCGGCAGGCCUAACACAUGCAAGUCGAGCGAGCGGCGGAAGGGGGAGUAAUGUAUGGGGACUGCCCGAUAGAGGGGGAUAACUACUGGAAACGGUAGCGAAUACCGCAUACUAUCGGAUAACCCAUAUGGGAUUAGCUAGUAGGUGAGGUAAUGGCUCACCUAGGCGACGAUCCCUAGCUGGUCUGAGAGGAUGAUCAGCCACCCUGGGACUUAGACACGGCCCAGACUCCUACGGAGGCAGUAGUAGGGAAUAUUGCACAAUGGGCGCAAGCCUGAUGCAGCCAUGCCGCGUGUAUGAAGAAGGCCCUAGGGUUGUAAAGUACUUUUGGCAGAGAAGCGGUAUCUGCAGAAUAAGCACCGGCUAACUACGUGCCAGCAGCCGCGGUAAUAC